rnacentral:rRNA from 1 species
AUACGGAGGAUCCGAGCGUUAUCCGGAUUUAUUGGGCGUAAAGAGGGAGCAGGCGGCAGCAAGGGUCUGUGGUGAAAGCCUGAAGCUUAACUUCAGUAAGCCAUAGAAACCAGGCAGCUAGAGUGCAGGAGAGGAUCGUGGAAUUCCAUGUGUAGCGGUGAAAUGCGUAGAUAUAUGGAGGAACACCGGUGGCGAAGGCGACGAUCUGGCCUGCAACUGACGCUCAGUCCCGAAAGCGUGGGGAGCAAAUAGGAUUAGAUACCCUAGUAGUCCACGCCGUAAACGAUGAGUACUAAGUGUUGGAUGUCAAAGUUCAGUGCUGCAGUUAACGCAAUAAGUACUCCGCCUGAGUAGUACGUUCGCAAGAAUGAAACUCAAAGGAAUUGGCGGG